rnacentral:rRNA from 1 species
AACACUAACUGUUCGGCCAGAAUGAUGGCUGAGUGGUACAGCGAAAGCGUUAAGUGUUCCACCUGGGGAGUACGCCGGCAACGGUGAAACUCAAAGGAAUUGACGGGGGCCCGCACAAGCGGAGGAACAUGUGGUUUAAUUCGAUGAUACGCGAGGAACCUUACCCGGGCUCAAACGACACAGGAAUACUUUUGAAAGGAGGUAGCCCUACGGGGUCUGUGUCGAGGUGCUGCAUGGUUGUCGUCAGCUCGUGCCGUGAGGUGUCGGCUUAAGUGCCAUAACGAGCGCAACCCCUAUCGCCAGUUACCAUCAAGUAAAGUUGGGGACUCUGGCGAGACUGCCGGCGCAAGCUGAGAGGAAGGCGGGGAUGACGUCAAAUCAGCACGGCCCUUACGUCCGGGGCGACACACGUGUUACAAUGGCAGGUACAGAGAGAAGCCAGGUGGCGACACCGCGCGGAACUCGAAAGCCUGUCUCAGUUCGGAUCGGAGUCUGCAACCCGACUCCGUGAAGCUGGAUUCGCUAGUAA